UGACACAACUGUUUAGUGCCACUCUUUGAUUUCCUCAAAUUAUCUUAGGUCCGAUCUAUGAUAUAGGUGCCUAGUUUUUCUUGUUUUUGUUUUGAAACAGUGAUGCUAUCUUCCAAGGCAAUUCCCACAGAAGAGUUCGGAAAACACUGGAGCAAUGAAGCACCUUGGCCUAAGGGUAAAGAUUGCUGAGAUGAUAACUUUGAGAAGGAGCAAUGUAGUAAACUCCUUGAGGACAAAGACUAGUUCUUGUUCUCUGUUGUACUCCUGCUUCUUGGAACAAGGCCUUACAGAGAACAGGACUAAGGGGCCAGAUCCUGAAAUUCACUCCAGAGCAUCGGUUCUGAAAGCAUGUUACCUGGUCUAGCGACCUCAGCAUCGCCUGAGUACUUAUCAGAAAUGUGCAUUUCAAUGCCCUGCCCCAGGCCUGUUAAAACACUCAAGUGGAACCCCGAAAUCUGUGGCUUUACAAGCUUUGUAGGUGACUGUGAUGCACACGGACUCACUUCACAGUCAAAGAGUAUUGUUUUAAUGGCAAAAAAUCUGAUAUUCUUAUACGUACGUUUAAUAAAUUAUGUUACAUCAAGACUCUGAAAUAUCAUGCAGCCAUCAAAAAGAAUGAAUAGGAACAAAGUCGGCAAACUUUUCUGUUUUGGACCAGAUAGUAAAUGGCUUUGCAGGCCACACCAUCACCAACUACUCGACUCUGCUGUUUCAGUGUGAACAACAACUCAUAAAUGAACAGGGAGGAUGUAGCUGUGUUCCAAUAAAAUUUAAAUUAUAAAAACAGUCAUAGGCCAGAUUGCACCCGUGGGCUGUAGUUUGUCAACCUCUGAAUUACAACUGUACUACAAGACUUCAAACUAUUUCCAUUAAAUGUUUACUGUUGAACGGAAAAACUAGGGGUUAGUCGUGUGUUGUGAUCACAAU
rnacentral:lncRNA from 10 species